UACAUAGGGGGCAAGCGUUAUCCGGAAUUAUUGGGCGUAAAGGGUGCGUAGGUGGUUAAUUAAGUCUUUGGUAUAAGUGCAGUGCUUAACGCUGUGAUGCUAAAGAAACUGGUUGACUUGAGUGUGGUAGAGGCAAGUGGAACUCCAUGUGUAGCGGUAAAAUGCGUAAAUAUAUGGAGGAACACCAGUGGCGAAGGCGGCUUGCUGGGCCAUAACUGACACUGAGGCACGAAAGCGUGGGGAGCAAACA
rnacentral:rRNA from 1 species